rnacentral:rRNA from 1 species
UAGGGAAUCUUCCGCAAUGGGCGAAAGCCUGACGGAGCAACGCCGCGUGAGUGAUGAAGGUCUUCGGAUCGUAAAACUCUGUUAUUAGGGAAGAACAAAUGUGUAAGUAACUAUGCACGUCUUGACGGUACCUAAUCAGAAAGCCACGGCUAACUACGUGCCAGCAGCCGCGGUAAUACGUAGGUGGCAAGCGUUAUCCGGAAUUAUUGGGCGUAAAGCGCGCGUAGGCGGUUUUUUAAGUCUGAUGUGAAAGCCCACGGCUCAACCGUGGAGGGUCAUUGGAAACUGGAAAACUUGAGUGCAGAAGAGGAAAGGGGAAUUCCAGGUGUAGCGGUGAAAUGCGCAGAGAUAUGGAGGAACACCAGUGGCGAAGGCGACUUUCUGGUCUGUAACUGACGCUGAUGUGCGAAAGCGUGGGGAUCAAACAGG